rnacentral:rRNA from 1 species
GUCCACUCAGGGUAAGUAGGGACCUAAGCCGAGGAGAGAAGUCGUAGGCGAUGGACAUCAGGUUGAUAUUCCUGAACCGUCUUUAGCGUUAGACAGAAGCAGUGACACAGAAGGAUAGACAGAGCGGAGGAAUGGAAGACUCCGUCCAAGCGGUGAGGCAGUAACGUAGUGAAGUACGCGUUGCAAUGCUGGGCCGUGAAGGGGACCGAAAAUAAGUAGGGAAGCUGUUGAAUUCACGCUGGCGAGAAAAGCUGCUAUGGAGCGAAAAGGCGCCCGUACCGCAAACCGACACAGGUAGGCGAGGAGAGAAUCCUAAGACGAGCGGGAGAACCCUUGUUAAGGAACUCGGCAAAAUGACCCCGUAACUUCGGGAGAAGGGGUGCCUCGAGAGAGGCCGCAGAGAAUAGGCCCAAGCGACUGUUUACCAAAAACACAGGUCUGUGCGAAGUAGAGAUACGACGUAUACGGGCUGACGCCUGCCCAGUGCCGGAAGGUUAAGGGGAAGUGUUAGGGCAACCGAAGCACGGAACUUAAGCCCCGGUGAACGGCGGCCGUAACUAUAACGGUCCUAAGGUAGCGAAAUUCCUUGUCGGGUAAGUUCCGACCCGCACGAAUGGCGUAACGACUUGGGCACUGUCUCAACAAGGGACCCGGCGAAAUUGUAGUAUGUGUGAAGAUGCACAUUACCCGCGAUAGGACGGAAAGACCCCGUAGAGCUUUACUGUAGUUUAACAUUGGAUUUUGAUAACAUAUGUACAGGAUAGGUGGGAGACGGAGAACUGCGGACGCCAGUCUGCAGGGAGUCAACCUUGGGAUACCACUCUUGUGUUAUUGGAAUUCUAACGAGAUGCCGUGAUCCGGGUUUCGGACAGUGUUAGAUGGGCAGUUUGACUGGGGCGGUCGCCUCCGAAAGAGUAACGGAGGCGUCCAAAGGUUCCCUCAGAAUGGUUGGAAACCAUUCGCAGAGUGCAAAGGCAGAAGGGAGCUUGACUGCGAGACCGACAGGUCGAGCAGGUACGAAAGUAGGGCUUAGUGAUCCGGCGGUAUGAGAGUGGAAUUGCCGUCGCUCAACGGAUAAAAGCUACCUCGGGGAUAACAGGCUGAUCUCCCCCAAGAGUCCACAUCGACGGGGAGGUUUGG